rnacentral:rRNA from 1 species
UACGAAGGGGGCUAGCGUUGUUCGGAAUCAUUGGGCGUAAAGCGCGCGUAGGCGGCCCGGUAAGUCCGUUGUGAAAGUCAAAGGCUCAACCUUUGAACGCCGAUGGAUACUGCCGGGCUAGAGUCCGGAAGAGGCGAGUGGAAUUCCUGGUGUAGCGGUGGAAUGCGCAGAUAUCAGGGGGAACACCAAUAGCGAAGGCAGCUCGCUGGGACGGUACUGACGCUGAGGCGCGAAAGCGUGGGGAGCGAACAGG